rnacentral:rRNA from 1 species
GAUGAACGCUGGCGGCGUGCCUAAUACAUGCAAGUCGAGCGAACAGACGAGGAGCUUGCUCCUCUGACGUUAGCGGCGGACGGGUGAGUAACACGUGGAUAACCUACCUAUAAGACUGGGAUAACUUCGGGAAACCGGAGCUAAUACCGGAUAAUAUAUUGAACCGCAUGGUUCAAUAGUGAAAGACGGUUUUGCUGUCACUUAUAGAUGGAUCCGCGCCGCAUUAGCUAGUUGGUAAGGUAACGGCUUACCAAGGCGACGAUGCGUAGCCGACCUGAGAGGGGGAUCGGCCACAGUGGAACUGAGACACGGUCCAGACUCCUACGGGAGGCAGCAGUAGGGAAUCUGCCGCAAUGGGCGAAAGCCUGACGGAGCAACGCCGAGUGAGUGAUGAAGGUCUUCGGAUCGUAAAACUCUGUUAUUAGGGAAGAACAAAUGUGUAAGUAACUAUGCACGUCUUGACGGUACCUAAUCAGAAAGCCACGGCUAACUACGUG